rnacentral:rRNA from 1 species
UACGAAGGGGGCGAGCGUUGUUCGGAAUUACUGGGCGUAAAGGGCGCGCAGGCGGCUCGACAAGUCAGAUGUGAAAGCCCCGGGCUCAACCUGGGAAUGGCAUUUGGGACUGUCGGGCUAGAGUUCGGGAGAGGUGGGUGGAAUUCCCAGUGUAGAGGUGAAAUUCGUAGAUAUUGGGAAGAACACCAGUGGCGAAGGCGGCCUUCUGGACCAGUACUGACGCUCAUGCACGAAAGCGUGGGGAGCAAACAGG